GUGCUUGAUGAUUUGAGCUUUAAUUUGCAAGAUAAAGAAAAAGAUAAGAAAGACAUUUUGGUACAGCUACAGAAAUAUAUGCAAAAGCCUGAAGAUAUAAAGCAAACUGACAAACAACUUCAGGGGAAGACCAGAGGAUGUUCUUUUCUCGGGAAUCUGCAGGAUGAAGAAGGUAUGCAACUUGCCCAGGGAACACCCUGGGUGACAGAGAGGAUUUGCAUUUAUAUUUGAGGAGAUAUUCUACCUGAAAUUCUUUUGUUGGAUUAAAAUGUAAAAGUAAAUGCCAUGCGAUUUCACUCAUAUGUGGAAUUUAGGAAACAAAACAAAGCAAAAAAAAGACAAACCAAAAAAACAGACUUCUAACUAUAGAGAACAGAUGAAUGGUUACCAGAGGUGAGGUGGAGGGGGGGGGGUGGGGGGAGAUGGAUGAAAUAGGUGAAGGGAACUAAGAAGACACUUAUUUUUUUUUAACAUUUUUUUUUCAUUUAUUUAUUUUUGAGAGACAGAGAGAGCACAAGAGCGGAUGGGCAGAGAGAGAAGGAGACAGAAUUCAAAGCAGGCUCCAGGCUCUCAGCUGUCAGCACAGAGCCCAAUGCGGGGCUCGAACUCACAAACAAAGAUCAUGACCUGAGCUGAAGUCGCAUGCUUAACUGACUGAGCCACCCAGGUGCCCCAAGAGUACACUUAUCUUGAUGAGCACGGAGUAAUAUCUAGAAUUGUUGAAUCACUGUAUUGUACAGCUUAACCUACUAUAAUUCUGUAUGUUAACUAUACUGGAAUUACAAUAAAAAGUGAAACCCCUUCA
rnacentral:lncRNA from 1 species